AUUGAACGCUGGCGGCAUGCCUUACACAUGCAAGUCGAACGGCAGCACGGGUGCUUGCACCUGGUGGCGAGUGGCGAACGGGUGAGUAAUACAUCGGAACAUGUCCUGUAGUGGGGGAUAGCCCGGCGAAAGCCGGAUUAAUACCGCAUACGAUCUACUGAUGAAAGCGGGGGCCCUUCGGGCCUCGCGCUUUAGGGUUGGCCGAUGGCGGAUUAGCUAGUUGGUGGGGUAAAGGCCUACCAAGGCGACGAUCAGUAGCUGGUCUGAGAGGACGACCAGCCACACUGGGACUGAGACACGGCCCAGACUCCUACGGGAGGCAGCAGUGGGGAAUUUUGGACAAUGGGCGAAAGCCUGAUCCAGCAAUGCCGCGUGUGUGAAGAAGGCCUUCGGGUUGUAAAGCACUUUUGUCCGGAAAGAAAUCCUUGGCUCUAAUACAGUCGGGGGAUGACGGUACCGGAAGAAUAAGCACCGGCUAACUACGUG
rnacentral:rRNA from 1 species